AAUUCACGAUAGACUCAAUCCUAGUUUCCAUAUAUAAAACACACAAAAAUAACUCCUAUUUACUAACUAGAGAGAGAGAGAGAGAGAGAGAGAGAGUUGCAGGAAGGACAUGGCGGGUGGUUGUAGCAUCAGAGCUCUCUGGAUCCUCAACAAUCUCGACUCUGUUGUCUUCUCCAGGAGGUUUCCGGUGGUGGAGAAGCGGUGGCGCGCAGCUUGCAAGACCGAGAACGAGAAAAGUGCUGAUAGUUUGAAGUACGCUGUGCUGCCAUUGCUUCCUACUGAUUCGGAGCUUGCUGUUGCUUUCGUCGACCGCAAAAAGAGGGAAGGGUCUGCUCGUGGGUUUGGAAUACGUGUAGCUCAGUCAGCUGAAGGGUCUGAUUCGUGGGUUGAUGAUCCAGUUACACGCCAUAUUAUAAGCCUAUAUAUUAACAAAGAAGGGGAAGGAGAGAAUCAUCUCUUAUGGCCAUUAAUUUUGCACAUAAAAAGUCAGUAUUGCAUCCUUGCAUUGCCUUUAGUUGAACCCUGUCAUCUAAAAGCAUAUGCGAGAAUAUGUAAAAGAUCUGAUUGUGGAAAUGCUGUUGGAGUGGAUGGAAGUGUGUCUUCCCUUCUUCUUGAUCUUCCAUCCAUCACAGGGGCCUUUAUGGUGGCACAUGCCAUAGGGGAUGUAGUUACUGGGGAUGUUCCAGAACCUGAGGUGGUUGUUAGUGCUUCUCCAUCCGUAGGGGGGUUGUUGGAUUCCCUAACUGGCAGUAUUGGGAUUUCAGGUAUUUCUGCAAGAGCAAAACCUGUAGCUGCACCAGUUGCACCUUCUACCACCUCAAACACUGCUGUGACCGGAGCCAUUGCAUCAGAUGCUCCAAGGAUUGGUUCAAGGCCCCUGGACAAAGAUGCACUUCGAACUUUUAUUAGUAGCUCAAUGCCAUUUGGUACACCCUUGGAUCUCAACUAUUCCAAUAUUUCUGCUAUUAAGCUUUAUGGCUUUGCUUCAUCAGAUUUGCCCCCAGCAGAGAGAAAACAGCCUGCGUGGAAACCAUAUCUCUAUAAGGGAAAGCAGAGAAUUAUUUUUACAAUUCACGAGGCUGUUCAUGCUGCAAUGUAUGACCGGGACGAGAUCCCAGAUACUAUAUCUAUUUCUGGGCAAGUGAAUUGUCGAGCAGAAUUAGAAGGAUUGCCUGAUGUUUCUUUCCCCAUGAUUGGGUUGGACAAUGCUCGCAUUGAGGUAUUAUCAUUUCAUCCUUGUGCCCAAGUACCGGAACAUGGAGUAGAUAAGCAGGCCCUGAUGUUUUCACCACCAUUGGGUAAUUUUGUUUUAAUGCGUUAUCAAGCACUUUGUGGCAUUGGGCCUCCAAUAAAAGGAUUCUACCAGCUGUCAAUGGUCUCAGAAAAUGAAGGUGCAUUUCUAUUUAAGUUGCACCUGAUGGAAGGUUAUAAAUCUCCUCUUACAAUGGAGUUCUGCACUGUGACUAUGCCAUUUCCUAGGAGAAGGUUGGUUUCGUUUGAUGGGACACCUUCUAUUGGAACUGUUUCAACCACUGAGCAUUCAGUUGAGUGGAAGAUUGUAACAAGUGGAAGAGGUAUUACUGGGAAGAGCAUUGAGGCAACUUUUCCUGGAACAGUUAGGUUUGCACCAUGGCAAACUCAAAGAUUGAUUUCCUCUGGGUCAGUCUUGGGAAGCGUAGUUGAUGAGGAUAGUGAUAUGGAAACAGAGGCCACUAAUAAUGUGGUAAAUGUGGAGGACUUUUUAAUGGAAAAAAUGAACAAGGACCUCCCACCAGUUGACCUUGAGGAGCCAUUUUGCUGGCAGGCUUACAAUUAUGCUAAAGUAUGUCUACUCUCUAUCAGUUCAACUUACUAUAAAUUCUGUAUCUUUCAAGAUCGUGGGGGCAUCCUUAUCUGGAAUGUCCAUUGAUCCUAAAUCUGUGAGCAUUUUUCCUGCUGUUAAAGCACCUGUGGAGUUCUCAACUCAGGUUACUUCUGGGGAUUAUAUAUUGUGGAACACAUUAGGGCUAUGCCCGUCUACUGCCACAGCAAAAGUAUAAGGGGAUGAUGGAUUGGGAAAUCUUAAGAAUGUGAAAUGUUGUAAUUUGUUUGGCAAAGAUGUUUUGUCCUCAAAAUAUUCCUUAGUAGGGCUAGAGAGAACUGUGCUCGGGCCAUCAGUUUAGGUUCACUCAAUGCAUGAUUAGCCUCAAGUACUUGUCUUGCAGAUGAAGUCUGACGUCUCGUGUUUUUUGAACAAGAUUGCUGCAAGGCAUGGGUGUUGAUUACGAUCGUGUAAUUGUGAGAAAGCAAUUACGGCAACAUGAGGUUGAGCCACAGGCAAGCCAUUCUCUCACUUUUUGUUUUAUGUUUUUGUUGUUAUUCAACGGUGUAGUUAUCAUUUUGUAUGAGACAAGAAGGCUUCUGUGGUUAGGCUUCAUUUUUAUUUUAUUAUUUUUUUUUUUUGGAUUAAAAUUUGCUUGGAUUCAUUUUGGUUUUGGACAGUGUGAACUUGAGAAGAAAGCGAGAACACAAAAAUUUCUUUUGUAUGAAUUGGGCCUUUUCUGUUGCUUGACUUGAAGCUCUAUUUGGAUAUUUGAAAUGAAGCAAUUUGAUGUUA